UUUUUUUUUCAAAAUUGAAUAAGUUCAUGAGUUCAAUCAAAAAGCCGUUGAUAAUAUUAAAAAGUUUAAAUUUUAUUAUUAUCAGCCGCUUUACACAAUAUUUAGGUUUUACUGUGGAGAAUGUGUGCUAUUCUGUCAAACAAAGAGGUUACAAUAAAGAAACCUUUUUGAAACAUUCACACUUGCGGCAGAUUAACCCGAGCGAGUUAUAUCGAAUGAAUGAAUACAUGACUCUAUGGAAAAUGCAGUUACGAGUAUAUUUGACAUUUUUAAGUGCCUGCUGCUAUUGUGAAAGUAUACUACACAAUCACAGAUGAAAUGCACAGAGCUUAUGUACAAAAGCGAAAUACAAUAAAACUCUAGUUCUGAUAUCUUGGCGAGGCCGGCUUCUUUAUUCAACAUUUCAAUUGUUGGCGAAGUGGUGAGUUGUUACGGAUUAUACAGCAACAUAAGAAAUAAAUGUAGUUCAUAAUCGGCCGCAUAUCUGGAUAUGUUGGUAUAGCUGCAUGUGCCAGCAAAGUGGAAAUAACUGGAAACCCCCAGAGCACGUACAAACAUACAUACCUUCAUAAGUAAUUAUGAAAUUAUGUGAAAAUGUGGAAAUGUGUUGGGAACGUAAAAAGCGGAAUGAAACAUAAGGCAAUAUAUACUACAAAUACUGUAUCAAUGCGGGAAAUCAGAGAUUAAACAUAUUUCAAAUAAUUUGCAAUAAUUUCUUUCAUACGAAUAUAAAGUAUACCAACUGUUUGCAUACAAUCAGAAAAUUUGAUAUAAUAUGUACUUGUAUAGGGUCUACCAACAAGAGCGACGUGAUG